GACGAACGCUGGCGGCGUGCUUAACACAUGCAAGUCGAACGAUGAAGCCGGAGCUUGCUCUGGUGAAUUAGUGGCGAACGGGUGAGUAACACGUGAGUAACCUGCCCUUGACUCUGGGAUAACUGCGGGAAACUGUAGCUAAUACCGGAUACGACCCUCGGAGGCAUCUCCUGGGGGUGGAAAGAAUUUCGGUCAAGGAUGGACUCGCGGCCUAUCAGCUAGUUGGUGAGGUGGAGGCUCACUAAGGCGACGACGGGUAGCCGGCCUGAGAGGGUGACCGGCCACACUGGGGCUGAGACACGGCCCAGACUCCUACGGGAGGCAGCAGUGGGGAAUAUUGCACAAUGGGCGCAAGCCUGAUGCAGCAACGCCGCGUGAGGGAUGACGGCCUUCGGGUUGUAAACCUCUUUUAGCAGGGAAGAAGCGAAAGUGACGGUACCUGCAGAAAAAGCACCGGCUAACUACGUGCCAGCCGCCGCCGUAA
rnacentral:rRNA from 1 species